AGUGAACGCUGGCGGUAGGCCUAACACAUGCAAGUCGAACGGCAGCACAGUAAGAGCUUGCUCUUACGGGUGGCGAGUGGCGGACGGGUGAGGAAUACAUCGGAAUCUACUUUUUCGUGGGGGAUAACGUAGGGAAACUUACGCUAAUACCGCAUACUACCUACGGGUGAAAGCAGGGGCUCUUCGGACCUUGCGCGAUUGAAUGAGCCGAUGUCGGAUUAGCUAGUUGGCGGGGUAAAGGCCCACCAAGGCGACGAUCCGUAGCUGGUCUGAGAGGAUGAUCAGCCACACUGGAACUGAGACACGGCCCAGACUCCUACGGGAGGCAGCAGUGGGGAAUAUUGGACAAAGGGCGCAAGCCUGAUCCAGCCAUACCGCGUGGGUGAAGAAGGCCUUCGGGUUGUAAAGCCCUUUUGUUGGGAAAGAAAAGCAGCAGGUUAAUACCCCGCUGUUCUGACGGUACCCAAAGAAUAAGCACCGGCUAACUUCGUG
rnacentral:rRNA from 1 species